rnacentral:snoRNA from 1 species
AUCCUUUUGUAGUUCAUAAGCAUGAUGACUGGGCUUUCACGCUUAUGUGUGAGAUGUGCCUCCCUCAAACCUUGUUAUGAUGUUGGCACAUUAUCUAUCUGACA